CACAUUGAGUUUUUAAACGUUCAGAUGACCAAUGAGCAUUCCAAACCAAGAUAUUAAUAUCUAGAUGUUUUAGGAAUGUGAGAAUACUAUCAGGGUCAUCACACCGAAGAGCUUUAGAAGGAUGAGAAACAUAACUUUCUAAUCGGGAGGUAUGUUUUGAAAGCAAAGUAGAACGGGAAGCAAGGAAAAGAUCGUAGUCACUCCAUUUUUUAAUAUCCUCUUCACUAGUGGUCUAAUAAAAGUUAAUAAUCAAAUAAUUAGCAAAUUAUGUUUAACAUAUUUACCUCAUCCACUAGAAUCAUAACUUUCUUUCUUGAUUUUGAUUCACUUUUUGCUUCUUGGUCCCGAACCAGAUCCUUAAAUAGAACGUAAAGUGUUGUUCCUAUUCCAAUUGCAAGUGUUGCUUUCUGAA